AGCUUUGCGCAGUGGCGGUAUCGUAGCCAAUGAGGUUUAUCCGAGGCGCGAUUAUUACUGAUUAAAAAUUCACAUGUGAAAACCACACCUAUAAAACUGUGACCAAACUUGUUCUCAAG
ensembl:snRNA U4 U4 spliceosomal RNA